CCCCGGAUGGAAAGCGAGGAACGGCGGCGCCCCCAUUUCCUGAGAGCGGGACGCGAACGGCGCCAUUUCGGUGAAGGAGGAGGAAGAGGCUAUAACAAAUUCUUCAGCUAAUAUGGCUGAAGUAGAAGAGAGUGGAAAGCAAAAGAGAAAGUUGGUUGAAGAAACUGAUAGUAGACGUAAACGUCCACGUAGGGAUUCUCUUGUUGAAAAAGAUGAUAAAACUGCAAAUAAGUAUGAUGAAGGUCAAACAGGAGAUGGAAACACUCAUCAUGAAACAGAAUCUGAAGAGGUUCCUAAAAAGAAAACACAUGCAGAAGCUGUAGCAGCACAUUAUAAUAAGCUUGAAGAGGUUGGAUUGGAACAACGUAGCAAGAGUCGCAUCUUCUAUCUCCGAAACUUUAACAAUUGGAUAAAGAGCGUGCUAAUUGGUGAAUUCCUUGAUAAGGUGCGACAAAGAAAACAAAACGUUACAGUGUUAGACUUGGGAUGUGGUAAAGGUGGGGACUUGCUGAAAUGGAGAAAAGGCCGAAUAUAUAAACUUGUAUGUACAGAUAUUGCUGAUAUAUCUGUACAACAGUGUGAACAGCGUUACCAAGAUAUGAGAAACCGUGGUCGCCAGAAUGAUAGAUUUUUCAGUGCAGAAUUUAUAACUGCGGAUAGCACCAAGGAACUUCUGUCUAAAAAGUACAGGGAUAGCAAUAUGUACUUUGACAUUUGCAGCUGUCAGUUUGUAUAUCAUUAUUCAUUUGAGACCUAUGAGCAAGCGGAUAUGAUGCUUAAAAAUGCUUGUGAGCAACUUUCCCCUGGCGGAUACUUCAUUGGUACAACUCCAGAUAGUUAUGAACUUGUAAAACGCCUUGAAUCUUCAGAAACAAAUUCAUUUGGGAACGAAAUAUAUAAUGUAAUGUUUCAGACAAAGGGAGAUUAUCCUCUGUUUGGUUGCAAAUAUGACUUUCACUUGGAAGAUGUGGUUGAUGUUCCAGAGUUCCUGGUUUAUUUUCCAUUGCUAGUAGACAUGGCAAAGAAGUAUAGAAUGAAACUAAUCUACAAAAAAACAUUUUGGGAAUUUUAUGAAGAAAAAGUGAAGAAUGUGGAACAUAAAAUACUUCUGCAACAAAUGAUGGCAUUGGAGAAAUACCCUGCUGAUGAAGGUUCCAGAUUGGUCUCACAUAUAAAAGAGGAUUAUGAACAUGCAGAAAUGUCUAAGAAGGAUGGAAAAGCAAAACUACCUUUUGGAACAAUGAGUAAAUCUGAAUGGGAAGCAACAAGUAUGUAUUGCAAACAAGUGUUUGAAAAUUCCUGGAAUAGUUAUCAAAUAUCUAUCAAAUAUACAUGUGUUUGCUUAGCAGCAUUUCGGCAUUUGUCAUGCUAUUGUGCCAUUACGAUGAAUUUCUUGAGUGGAAAUAUUUCAUAAAUAAACUACAAAGUGAAUUUUUACACAAAAGGACUGGCUAUUCAUCGUAGUAUGUGCAAAUUCAUCAAAGCCUUUUUUCAGUGUCUGUACUUGAUUUUUGUAUUUGAAAAACUUUAAAAGGAAAAAGAAAACAAUGAAAUACAGAUGAUGUGAUCAAGCAUCCAAACUGACAGCUAUUUUAUAUUUUUAUGUUUAAGCGUGUGCAGGAAACGACCAAGAUCGGGCAUGCUUAUGUUUGAGUCAUGGCUGCCUGUCUGUGACAGAUGGAUUUUUUUGUUGUUGUUUGUAUGUGGUAUAUAUACAGUGUAUGUGUUAUACAUUUUACUUUUUGUGUGGUAUGGCUGGCUUCCUACUUUUAACGAAAGACGAGUUUUCUGGAAUACUCAGGGUGUUUUCAGGUACAGAGUUGCCACAUUGACUCUUUGAAGCUGUAUCGUGACAGUUGUCACAGUACUGUAUGAAGAUCUGAUCAUAACGUAGUAAUAUGAUAAUGUAACUGCUGCCAACUAAAACACUUAAGGAAUAAAGGAUUUGGUAAUUAUAUUGCCAAGGACUACAAAUUACAUUGCCUAGGAGUACAACUCUACUUACUGUUACACUUGUUGCAAAAUAAAUUUCCAAGUGAUUUUCACUUGAGAUCUUCUGCUGCAAGAUGCUGUUGUAUAAAGAUGGGUUGUAUAAAGUUGUAGGCUAGUAAACUUGUAAGCACUGAAAUGUGAGUCUGGAUCCAGUAUUCGCUGCAAUCAGUAAAAAUGUUACCCUGUUUUGAAACCUGUACUAGUGGGCAUUUUCUUUAGACCUUGUAAAGAGCUUACAUGCUUCAACAGCUCGUUCAUGUGUACGAGUUCUAUGUGUGUUGGGAUACCAGAACUUCAUUAUUAUUGGAUUUUCUAUUUCAUAGUGGAGUAUUUUCACUGCUAAAUUAAUUGUGAUUGGUAUGUAGGGUGGGUAAUAUUUGCAGAAAUACUACUGUGCUGUUUGUAUUCCUUAGACUGUAAUUUCUUUUCAAACUGGUAAUGAAAAUUAAAAAUAUUUCUCUUCUUAUCAUUUAUGUAUAUCUGAGAAGUCAGAAUUCCUAACUGUAUGGUUGUUCAUAUAUAUUCUUUGAAAAAUUGUGAUACAUAAGUAGCAAAAGUCAUUGCCAGAAGACUUUUUUUUAGCAAUACUAUGUUUACCAGCUAGAAUUAUCCUACAAAUCAUGAUUUUUCUGAGCUGGAUUUAAUUAGAUACGCACUUUUAAAUGAGAAAUGUAUGGGUCAACGCUAUAGUGAAUGUACACACUAAAUGAUGGUCGGUGCUUGCAGGAAUAUGGAUUGUCUAGCCAUGGUGUUCUGGAUGAAACAGGCCAAUUUUAUACCAUGAAAAACACUACAUUUUGUUUUUGAUUUGAAGGUUUAACUUCUGGAAAACUCUGGGACAAUGGCUUAGAUAAGCAUGGUCUGGAGAAUUGGAAUAUUGUGAAGCUCAUGGAAUCAUAGGUUUUCCACUUAUCUGCAUGAUUGCAGAUAUAAAAAGUGUGUGGUUUGUGGCAUACUUUUCCAAUAUGUGAGGGAUAUACUAUAUAUGAAGAGAUGAGACUUAUUUUUUUGAAAUUAAAAUAUUUUUGCCUAGAAUUUCCCACUAAAUUCUUCAUACAUAGAUUUUUAUUGUAACCGUAGCUUUAAAUUGUAGUCUUAAAAAUGAGUUCACCACUCAGCUGCUACACGAUACAUUGAUAUGAGACAACAUUAUGUGGCUUAAACUGUAUAACCUUAAAUGAACAACUUCUCAUCUUAAAUGAACAACUGCUCAAUCACACUUUGCAUAUUUGUUCUUGGUCCCUUUUUCAUUCUCCAUAUUUUGCCAACUGGUCAGUUCUCAUAAUAAAGCUAUUUACAGCUGGUGG